UGAAGAAUUGGUUUAUUGGAAAUCUCAACUGGCUACAAGUGUUGAAACGGCUCAGGUCAAGCGGUGAUAAAUAAUUUCAAGAAACCAGUGUGAGACUGAACAGGUUUAUUUGACACCAGUCUCUGCAUUUUCUUCUGCCAGAGGAUGGAGGGACCGGGCUUCCAGUACCGUGGUGUGUGGCUGUACAAAGGUGAAUUCCACCAGUUAAAUGGUCCCAUGGGAAGGCACUACUCUUCUGUUACCAGCCUUCCAGAGGUGAAGUUGUCCUUAGAGUUGAGCAAGAAAGUUGCUUUAGUGCUGUCAGAUAUCUAAUUAAUGCCUCAGUAAAUAAAGGCAUUCUGUAAUUAAA